rnacentral:rRNA from 1 species
AAAUCUGUCUGAACCUAGGGGGACCACCCUCUAAGCCUUAAAUAACUUUUUUUGAUCGAUAGCGCACAAGUACCGUGAGGGAAAGGUGAAAUAAUCCCUUAUAAAGGGUUUGAAAUAGUAUAAAAUUGAGAAUUUACAAGCAGUAGAUUGAUUAAAGAGUUAAGAAAUCUACGUACUUCUUGCAUAACGGAUCAGCGAGUUAGUUUCUAAAACAGGGCUAAGCAGUAAUGUGUAAGCGUAAAGAAAGUAAACCUUAUUCAAAGGAAUAAGAAAAAAGUUUUAGGAAAAAGACCCGAACCUAAGUGAUCUAAGCAUGAGCAGGCUGAAGCUCCACGAAAGUGUAGUGAAGGGCCGAACCCACUACUGUUGCAAUAUUAGGGGAAGACUUGUGCUUAGGGGUGAAAGGCCAAACAAACUUAGAUCUAGCUGGUUCUCCCCGAAAUCUAUUGAGGUAGAGCACUUUUUAUAUUUAUCUUAUGGGGUAGAGCACUUCAUGGGUGUGGGGGGCGUAAAGCUUUACCAUUUCCAAGAAAACUCCGAAUACGUAUAGAUAGAAAAAGCAGACAGGCUCUGGGCGCAAAGGUGCAGAGCCAAGAGGGAAACAGCCCAGACUAUCAGCUAAGGUCUUUAAUCUCUUUCUUAGUGGGAAAGGAAUAAUAUGAGCAAAAUCAAUCUCGAGGUGGUCUUAG